CUGUGUUUUGAAACGCAGCCGGUGUCUGAGCAUGUGCUGUUACUACUGCAGUGAAGUAAAAUAUGUCAGUUAUCGCCGGACAGCAGCAAGAGCCGGCUACAAAUGUACUCUGAGAGGCAACCGGUGCAACGAUUUUCUGUUUAAUUCUUCCGUUUAUCACCAAAAUGAGGCCCGGCUUCGCCACAUCUACAGCGGCGGAAGAAUAAUACGCCCUUAGGAGUCUUCUCAGCACUGCUCGUACCUGAUGAGAAGAAUGAAGGCUGUGUGCGAGCUGGAGCCAAGUACAUGUGUACCACAUUAGCAUUGGCAGCCAAGCUCAGAAGUACCGCUCUCUUUGGACCCUGACAGUGAGACUGCCAGACAGCAGGUUGGG